GACGAACGCUGGCGGCGUGCUUAACACAUGCAAGUCGAACGGAAAGGCCCUGCUUUUGUGGGGUUCUCGAGUGGCGAACGGGUGAGUAACACGUGAGUAACCUGCCCUUCACUUUCGGAUAACUUCAGGAAACUGGGGCUAAUACCGUAUAGGAUCUCCUGCUGCAUGGUGGGCGUUGGAAAUUUUCGGCUGUUGCGGUUGGACUCGCGGCUUAUCAGCUUGUUGGUUGGGUAGUGGCUUACCAAGGCUGUGACGGGUAGCCGGCCUGAGAGGGUGACCGGCCACAAGGGGACUGAGGGACGGAGCAGAGUGGAACAGGAGACAGCAGUGGGGAAUAUUGCACAAUGGGCGGAAGCGUGAUGAAGCAGCGCCGGGUGCGGGAUGACGGCCUUCGGGUUGUAAAAAGCAGUAGGCUAUGACGAAGCGUGAGUGACGGUAAUGGGUAAAGAAGCACCGGCUAACUACGUG
rnacentral:rRNA from 1 species